rnacentral:rRNA from 1 species
UACGACGUAUCAGAGUUUGAUCCUGGCUCAGGACGAACGCUGGCGGCGUGCUUAACACAUGCAAGUCGAACGGAGCUAUUGGAGAGCUUGCUCGAAGAUAGCUUAGUGGCGAACGGGUGAGUAACGCGUGAGUAACCUGUCUCAUACAGGGGGAUAACACUUGGAAACAGGUGCUAAUACCGCAUAAGACCACAGAGUCGCAUGAUUCAGAGGUCAAAGAUUUAUCGGUAUGAGGUGGGCUCGCGUCUGAUUAGAUAGUUGGUGAGGUAACGGCUCACCAAGUCGACGAUCAGUAGCCGACCUGAGAGGGUGAUCGGCCACAUUGGAACUGAGAUACGGUCCAA